AACCAGCUUUGUAGCAAUACAGAGCUGGGGAUAGUGGCGAAAGGGGCAGUAAUGUGUGGGUAACGUACCCCGGGGAUGGGAACACAGAGGUAACACUCGUAAAUUCCCAGCGAUUCGGUUGAGAGGCAUCUCUUGGCCGGGAAAUGAGUUUCGCCUCGGGAGCGGCUCACAUCGUAUUAGCUUGUUGGCGGGGUGACGGCCCACCAAGGCAAAGAUGCGUAGCGGGUGUGAGAGCACGACCCGCGCCACUGGCACUGAGACACUGGCCAGACACCUACGGGUGGCUGCAGUCGAGGAUCUUCGGCAAUGAGCGCAAGCUUGACCGAGCGACGCCGCGUGUGCGAAGAAGGCCUUCGGGUUGUAAAGCACUGUCGAGGGGGAGGAAAGCCGCAAGGUCUGACCUAUCCCUGGAGGAAGCACGGGCUAAGUUCGUGCCAGCAGCCGCGGUAAGACGAACCGUGCGAACGUUGUUCGGAAUCACUGGGCUUAAAGGGCGCGUAGGCGGGCAAGCAAGUCCGGGGUGAAAUCUUUCGGCUCAACCGGAAAAGUGCCUUGGAUACUGCUUGUCUCGAGGGAGGUAGGGGGUUGCUGGAACUUCCGGUGGAGCGGUGAAAUGCGUUGAUAUCGGAAGGAACGCCGGUGGCGAAAGCGAGCAACUGGAUCUCUUCUGACGCUGAGGCGCGAAAGCUAGGGGAGCAAACGGGAUUAGAUACCCCGGUAGUCCUAGCCCUAAACGAUGGGUACUAGAUAGUAGGCUUAUCAUGGGCUUACUGUCGAAGCAAAAGUACUAAGUACCCCGCCUGGGGAGUAUGGUCGCAAGGCUGAAACUC
rnacentral:rRNA from 1 species